GUGCCAGCCGCCGCGGUAAGACAGAGGGGGCAAGCGUUGUCCGGACUGACUGGGCGUAAAGCGCGCGCAGGCGGUUUCGGGCGUCGGUGCUGAAAGUCCACCGCUUAACGGUGGGAAGCGUGCCGAUACGCCGAAACUGGAGGCUGGGCGAGGGUGGUGGAAUUGCCGGUGUAGUGGUGAAAUGCGUAGAGAUCGGCAGGAACACCCGUGGUGAAAACGGCCACCUAGCCCAGACCUGACGCUGAGGCGCGACAGCGUGGGGAGCGAACGGGAUUAGAAACCCCUGUAGUCC
rnacentral:rRNA from 1 species